UUGUUAUUGUUAUUCAAUUCAUCUGUUAUUACCUUCUUGUUGAUUUACUUGAAGCUAUUUGUUAGUAUGAUGGGUUUCAUUAGUUAUUUCAGUAUAUACUACUUGCACUUGUGAUGUAGAAGUCAGACUUAGGGGAUUAAUAUUCCUCAUGUGCUACUAAUAAAGAAAUGGUCAAAAAUAGAUCGAUUAAUUGUAUUUUAACAAAACUAGGGAGGUCCAAGCAAUGGUGUGAUAUUGUCUUAUGAAAAUAAAAAUUUAGACUAUGUGCAACUUGUUGCUUGUAGCAAUUUAAGUAAUUUCUUGUCUACCAUUUCCAAUCUUAAAAACCUGCUUAUACACAGUGGAGGUUUAGUUUGCGCUAAUGGCCUAUCAAAAAAUGGAAACAAUAGAAAAGUUCUUGUUAAUAUUGUAUAUAUACCCUUAUAAACUUGAAAUUGAUUGCAGAAAUGAUUAGAGAUGGUUUCUACUGAUAUGCAUAUGUAUGUAAACCGGCAAGCUUAUGACUGUUAGAAACAAUUCUUUCCAUCACAAGUGACAGGUUGUUCUUAGCAUACUGAUGUUGAAUGAGACAAAAAAGGUGGAUCUGACUGGCACUUAUCUCAUAGCUUUUGGUGUGAAGUUGCAUGAAUACCUCUAUAUCCAAGUGUCACAUUUUGCAUUUAGUAAAAUUUAUAGCUUGAGAUAUUUUCAAACACUUUUUAAGCAUGUUGGACUAUACUGCUCAUAGAUGGAGAGUAAUCUCGUGGUGUAGGUAUAAACAUUUUGUGCUGUAGUUAUGCAUUCCAUUGGAAAAUUUUAGAGGUGAUGCACUAAAGAUCAAUUUAGUUCAAUGAUAUUGGAAAUAGUGAUUAUCAGCACUAGAAUUAUUGGUUUCCUGCAUUUAUUAGGAAAUCAGAGCCUUUUUUUUGCAGAUGUAUUUAUAAGAACCAUGUAUUUGAUGUUACAUGAUUGCUUAGUCUAGAAUUAUUACUUAUGAAUAUUUUAUUUCCUGCUUCAUUUCCAAAUUUUAUCCUAUAUAAUGUACGAAAUACAUUUUUAAGAGAAUUUUUAUUAGAUGAUAAUAUUUAGUUAGGGCAUAAAAUUGGAAGUUUGUGACUUUUGAAAAUCUUAAGUUUGAGAAAAAUAUUUAUUUAAGUUGUCUAGUGUGUUUAAUUUUUUUGAGUAGCAAUUCAACAUUAAGUUAUAUAUGUGGGUAAAUAAUAAUUGAUGAUUAUGUUUCCACAAUGUAGUGUACAAGUUAAAUCCUACAACGGUUGCUUAGAAUGCUAGAUUUUCUCAACUUGGGACGAGUGAUAGAGGCCAAGAAGAAGAUACCACUGAUGAUAAAGUUUGAAUGAUGAGAGAGUGAUAUAUAGAACUUGGGUGUUUUAUAAUUAGUUUCAUUGACAUAUGAUUUCUAUUAUUCAUGUUUUGGUUAUGUAUGAAUACGUUUAGAUAUGAUGAAAGAUUGAACUUACUUACUUUGAAUACUAUUGAACUUGUGUUUUGUUAUGAGUAUAAAUGAUUUUGUUUAUUAUAUAGAGUUUGUGAAAUGAUAUUGAUAACAUGUUAAUACAGGGAAAUGGAGUAAGGAAAAAAAGUAAUAAUAUAAAAAUAAAAAGUACUAUCACAGACGGAAUUCCAUUGGCAAUAAAAACUUUUACGGACGGAAUCCUGUAGGUGAUAAAAACUAUUAAAGACGGAAUUCCAUUGGUAAUAAAGGUAUUCAAGGAUGGAAUUCCAUGGGUGAUGACUAUCAAAGACGGAAAUCUGUUGGUGUUAAGUACUUUUUAUGACGGAAUUCCAUUGGUAAUAAGCAUCUUUAGAGACGGAAUUACAAGGUUGAUAGAGAUUAUCAGAGAUGGAAUUCCAUUAGUAAUAAACACCUUCAGGGACGGAAUUCUGUGGUUGAGAAGACUAUUAGAGACGGAAUUUUGUUGGUAAUAAAUACCUUCGAUGGCAGAAUUCCGUGUGUGAUAAACACUUUCAUUGAUGGAAUUUCCGUUGGUAAUAAACACCUUUAAUGACAAAAAUUCUGUUGAUAAUAAACAUCUUCAGUGACGGAAUUUCCAUUGGUAAUAAACUCUUUUAAAGACGGAAUUUUCGUUGAUAAUAAACACUUUGAGUGACGGAAAAUUCUGUUGGUAAUAUUUUAAUAUCAUCAAUAUAAUAAUCUUUUCCAACGGAAUAGUAUUAGCCACUUGUUUUCCAGCGACCGAAAUGUCCAACGGAAUAAUCUAAAUUUUCUGUCUCUGAUAUCCAUGUUUUGUUGUAGUGUAUGAUUUAAAUUUUUUAAAAUUAUUUCUUUGCAUCUUAGAAGAAUUCAUUUAUAUGUCUUCCCUAUUCUUAUGUUUCUCGGUAUUGAUUGUGAGCAUUAUUAAUCAAUUAAUUAAAACUUUCACCUGCACUAUUUGCUGAAGCUAGUAGCUUUUGAUAGUUCUGGAAUAGGCACUACACCAUUUUUUUUUAAUUUUAUUUUUAGAAGCAAAUACAUAGAGUGGUGUUAAAAAACUGCUUUCUUAAUCGUGUAAAAAUAUUUUCAGACAAUCUAGAUAUAUAUAUAUAUAUAUACAUCUGGUUUAAAAAUAUUUUUAACCCCUAAUGAAUGGCGAGAGUUAUCUUUAAUAAGUGGUGAGUUUUGAUUACGGAUAAUAGUAUAUUUCUGGGAGUGAUAAUAAUUAUACACGGAUGAUUCUAGCAUCCAUGUGUACGUGAACAUCGCCUCCGCUUUUUUUAGUGAGUUAUUUGGGAAAAAUACCCUCUAUUUUUAAAUUAAGAAAAGGCAAAAAUUAAAGCAAUCACUUACUUUGACUGAACUGCCAGAAGUUCCACCGACAAACUUUGCGAGUGCAUCUCCUUUGGUCGUCUCUCCUUCACUUUGGCGAUCUCGGUGAUCCGCACUUUUUUUGGGUAGUUUUUGGUGAAAAUUUGCCUCAUUUAGAUGAAUAGAUCCCUGUUUCGCGUAGUUGUUUCUGGAUGUCGAAUCGAGUUCUGUUUUUCCCGUUAUUUAUUUUUUAUUUUUCUGAAUUUUUUAUAUUAAAAAGAGUGGUUAGAGCUGAGUAGCAAUGGUUGAAAGCUUGGGAAUUGGUUCUUUGAUGGAUCUGGGGCGAGAAGGUGGAGCCAUUUGCCGCGGGAGUUCGAUCUUGAGGGGAUCUCAUGCGGUAUCACACGUUGGAGGCGAAUGGGGCCGUAGGAACGAAUGAGAAGUAGAGGGAGAUCAUUCUUAUGAGGAAUGUGCAUACGAUUGAUGAGCCGGAGGCCGAGGAUGAGCUUAGUGGCGAGAAGGACGAUUAUAUGGCGGUCUAGUGAGGUAUUAGAAGUCCCUUAUUGAGAGGACCAAACACCAUCUCGAUGUACCACAAGCGUGAAGUGAUGCAUAGAAACCUAAAAACGUCUUGUUUGCUAAUAAGAAUGAGAACUCCACUCUGAAAGCCAUUGAUUUUGGGUUGUCUGUUUGUUUCCAGCCGGGUGCAAGAUUUACUUAAAUUGUCGGGAGUCCAUAUUAUAUCGCACCUGAGGUUCUAAAAAGGAAUUAUGGCCCUGAAGUUGAUGUUUGGAGUGCUGACGUUAUCCUUUACAUCCUUCUGUGUGGUGUGCCACCUUUUGGGGCAGGGGCAGGGGCAGAAACUGAACGAGGAGUUGUAAAGGGCAUCUUUUCUUCUGUGGUAGAUUUUAGAUGAGAUCCAUGGCCAAUAGUUUCUGAUAAUGCUAAAGAUCUUGUUUAAUCCAGAUCCGAAACGGAGGUUAGCAGCACUAGAAGUUCUUGGUGAGAUUCAAGUAUUCCUCUUUUAUGUACACGAUAGCUAUUACUAUGAGAACAAUUUCAUGGCUUUCAAUCAUGUUUUUGGUGCCUGCUUAUGGUUGUUAUUGCACAUUAAUUUAAUCAGCUCCAA